AUGGUGAAUUCCUGGGUGAUCUUUGAUGAACCAGAUCAGGUCGUAUGGAAUCUUGGUAAAAACAAGCGCUUUACUACCAAAUCCAUGUAUAAUCACCCGGAAAGCCGCCUUGCUGGGUGUGAUUAUAGGUGGAUUUGGAAAGCUAAAUUGCCUCUCAAGAUCCAAAUUUUCCUUUGGCAAUUAUUUCAAGAUGCGGUGUUGACAUGAGAUGUCAUGGAAAGACGUAAAUGGGCUGGUAACCCGAAAUGUUCCUUCUGUCAUAACAGAGAAACUUCGCAACAUCUCUUCUUCACAUGUCCAGUUGCAAGGGUGGUUUGGAGAACGGUUGGUUGCGUGUUUGGCACAGAUUUGUACCCUGAUAACCUUUGA
rnacentral:rRNA from 1 species